AGCAAUGAUUGAGAUUAAGUUGUCGCACCACCAAUUCCACUACAUUGAUGAGGAUACAUCGACCUACAUUUGUAAGGAUGAUAUUAAAGAAUUCUUACUUGGGGAAGAGUUGAAUGUUUCCAUGAUACAAACAUUCAUGAGGCUAUUAUACAAUGAUGUGAGGCGAUCUAGUCAGCCAAUCUUUGGUUGGUUAUGUCCAAGCUUUGUACGAGAUGACAGUUGCGUACAAAACGAAAAAGAGGUGAAAGUAUAUCUCAAGGAUUCUUUGAACGCAUGUUCUCGUCUUGGAUAUAAGAUCGUUCUUCUUCCUUACAUUGAAUCGAACCAUUGGACACUCAUUGCAAUAUGUGUGUCAAGUAACGAAGUCUACCACUUUGAUUCUUUGCGUAAAAAACAAUACGGUCCUUACUAGUCAAAUCAUUGUUAAAUAGUGUGAUGAAGAAGAUUACUUCAUCUGGACUUCGACAAGGAAAAGCUCCUGUUUGGUAUUUAGUCGAGUGUCCGGUACAAGAAGGUGGACUUGCGUGUGGGUAUUACGUCAUGAGGUUCAUGCUCGAUAUCGUCAACUAUUGCAAAGAUGUUGUUGAUCUUCGAAAGGUUUAUGCUAGUUCCAAACCACGUUUGAGGAACUUCACCAAAGAAGAAAUUGACGAAGUUCGGGAUAAGUUGGCGUCCUACAUUACCGAUGAUUGCAUAGGAUGAGAUUUUCGCUCCAACAAUAAUGUACUAGCUAGUUUCUAUCACCUAUGUACACUUUUUACAUUAUUUUAAUAUAUUUGAAGUUAAUUAUUA